GAUGAACGCUGGCGGCGGGCCUAAUACAUGCAAGUCGAGCGAAGCGGGGACGGGUGAGUAACACGUGGAUAACCUCCUAUAAGACGGGGAUAACUUCGGGAAACCGAAGCUAAACCGGCUACUUAUAGAUGGGUCCGCGCUGCAUUAGCUAGUUGGUACGGUAACGGCUUACCAAGGCAACGAUGCCUAGCCGACUUGAGAGGGUGAUCGGCCACACUGGAACUGAGACACGGUCCAGACUCCUACGGGAGGCAGCAGUGGGGAAUCUUCCGCAAUGGGCGAAAGCCUGACGGAGCAACGCCGCGUGAGUGAAGAAGGUCUUAGGAUUGUAAAACUCUUUUAUUCGGGAAGCGGUACCUAAACAGAAAGCAACGGCUAACUACGUGCCAGCAGCCGCGGUAAUUC
rnacentral:rRNA from 1 species